AGUUUAAACUGUCCUUUCACACCCUUUUUCUUAACGUUUUCUUAAUAGCACAACUGGCGCGUGCUUAGCCGCUGUGUCACGUUGGCUCUGCGGUCACUCUGGCCUCUCGCAGCCGUUCCGGCGUUACGUGUCGUUCUCAUGCGCAGUGCUUUGCUGGAUUGCUUGGAGCUUCCUGUCAGAGAUUUGAAAAUAUCGUAAUGAAUUAAAUUUUUUCUGUUUUGCGUUGAAACGCAGAAGGCUUUGUAACGUGCCUCCAUCUUGUGCAGAAAAAUGAAUGGCUUGUUGUUUUCUGGCCAGGGGCUGCUGGCCUGAACUAACAACUACUUUUCUGUCUCCCCAAAUAAAUGGGUUACUGACUUCUUUUGCCCUAAUGUUGCUUGUAGGCCACCCUUAGAAGCACCAAAUGGCAGCUCACACUUCUCCUUGAGUUUGUAGCUGUUUGGACCUCCUACUUUGCUUACGAUCUGCUUUGCUUUAGAACCAUUUUAUAAGACCUGGUUUGUUUUAUAACCAUUUUAUGCUUAUAAGUACAUAUAUUCUCAAUGGUGAGCCAGUGGUAGUUCAAAGCAGCGCCUCCAGGCGGUAAGUUGGGUAGUGCUGCCAAUUUAUGAUGGUUCUGGGUUGUUUCCAUCUUUUAUGCUUUCAUGUUACUACUGUCUUGAUGCCUGAUGUUUCUUUCAAUUUGGACAGGCAUGCCUUAAAAGCUGGGCUAUUGCUUGUACGUAUCGUUGGUCAUCAGUCUCUGUUGAAAAGAUGAGGCAAACUGUCAGAAGCUAAAUGAAUCAUUUAAUGCUGUGGACUAGAAACCAUUCUUGAUAGUGUAAACAGUGAGCACUUUUGUCAGCGAAAAUCGUGUAGAAUCAGCAGUGACAGAAGUAAUUGUGGAUAAUGACCUGUGGAUAAAGAAUAGUUCUUUAAAAGCUGUGUUCAGAGCAGAACAAACCAUCUCUGUUUACCUAAAGGUUUUUUCUGAGUCAUGUUUAAACUACUGAUCCAGAUACUGAUCCCCAUAAAACAUAUACUUUUAAAAUAUUGGAGGAGGCCCGUAUUGAAUUUGCUCUCUUUUAAACUGUUUCUCAUUCAUGAUUUUCUGGGAGUUUGAUCUGAUCCAAGUCCUGUGGUAUGGCACUAACUAGAGUUGUGGUGUGUCAAUUUCUGUAAACUCUUACGCAACACAAAAAGGGUAAAUUUAUUAUUUUUGUCACUUGUCAUUUGUCUAUUGACUAGCAUUAUGUCACGGGUAACUUGUGACACUCUUCUUGCCUGUUGGUGUUCCUGAAAUUAUAAUACAUCUAGAUCUGCCAUUCAAAUGGGGUAGAACAAAUCAGGCUUUAAGAUAAUAGAAAAUAUAACUUUUAAUUUUAACCUAAGCUUUUUUUUUUCUUCAUUUCAUUUCAUUUUAAAAUUUAGAGUGGCAAUUAAAGUUUAAUAAGAUAAUUGAAAGCAUAGCAUUCUUGCAGGGUGUUCCAUAGAAAGCAUUCUUGGUUUAUUAAGAUCAUACCAUAAAUAUCCUGUUAAUGGAAGUCUCCAUUCUUGGUUGCUGCAUGUACUGAUGCUUGCUUUCGUUUUUUUUGUUUAGUUUUGUUUAUUUUCUUCUUUUCCGAAUAGCUCUAUCAUAGAGACAAAAUUUAAGUCUCCUUGCACAGAUAUCCAUAGAAUAUCUCUGUCUUCUCUUUUUCUUCCAACAGUUUAUGUGCUUGCACCCUAAACUGGUCUGUCCAACCUUGUUUCAUUUGAACUUGUAUACUUACUCCACGCUAGGGCUUGUCAUGGUUCCUACAUUUUUAUUGAUUAGUUUAGCUGCUUUUGCUCUCUUACAGAUUUUUCCUAGGGUGGCAUUGGUUUGAUGUGGGUUUAAUCUCUCUCUCUCUCAGAGUAGAAAUAAGAUAUAAAAUGGCAGCAGAGUUGAUCAAAACCAUGAAACGGCUUCUGUAUGAGUUGUGAUUAAAUUAUGUUCAAGGACUAGAAGCUAGAACAUAUAGAUGUGCUUAUUUAUUUUAAUCCAGCGUGUAAUUAAACUAUGGAGUUUGUGAAUUUUUGCCCUCUACAAAUUCAUAUGAGACAAGAUCACAAGUUGGAUAAAUUAUGAUUGAUUGUUAUGGAUAGCUUUUUCUUUCAUGAGAAAAAAAUACAGCACAUAAUUAGUGCUCAGAGAAUUAAACUUUUCUGUGGAAACAGGAAGAGCAAAGUAUCAUGCUAUAUCAUGCCACUUCACUGUUAGCCGUUGUCAAAGGUGAGGUGCUGGUUUAGCCGGAUCUGUAGUCUGUUCCAGGAGGGUUAUUUUUAUGUUGUUUCUCCUUGAUUAACGGGAAUCAGUCGCAGAAUAUCUUGCAAGCUGCUGGCAAUCAUAGAUUGCUCAGCUCUGUAACAAACAUACUUGUUGGUUCCCUCUGCUUCAAGAAACCAAGGACUCUUAUACUGCUUUACAAUAUCCCACAAACAUUUCUUUUAGUCAGCUCAGCAGUAGCAGUAUUUCACACAUUCUUGGCAGGAAUAUUUGACUUUCGCAGCUGCUUACCCAGAGACAGGAAAGAUACCCGAAACCUUUGGGGGGAAAAAAAAAAAAAAGUCAAACCCUU